AGUAAGUGAAGCCUUACAGCCUAAUUCGGUUAAAUUUUCCACAGCAUCUACGUUCAAACGGAAGUGGAUCUGCCAGCUUAUUAGGUGCCGAGGAUAUUCCAUUACACUCUGCAGAGCUCAGCAAGACGACUCACACAGCAAAAUAAGAAGAAAAAUGGAUUGAAAUGGAGUAAAAAUGCCAGUUAUCUUAGGAGAAAAUGUCUGAAAGAAAAUAAAACUGGUUCUCGGCUUACUCCUUAUCCUUAUCCUUCAAAUAACUACCCAAGCAUCACGGCAAUGACUCAGGAAACCUACCCAGCCCCCUCUCCUAUUUCCAUAUACCCUUGGACUUCCAUCGGUGAGCACAAUCCACUGCAUUUUCUGAAGAUCUCUGUCUCCUACAGGAGACUGGAUUCUUUAAAGCUUCAGCUACGUCGGAAGCCACGCGCUGGAGGAAAAGGGAGCAAAUUUAGAUCCCUGAGUCGCUGGAGGAAGGCAUGCGCCAUCGACUUUACAAGAGCAAGAAAUAAA